CCAUGUCUCGCCUGCGUCGGUGCCCGUUGCAACGGGUGAAAAGGGAAUGGGACAUCAAGCCCAGCCGCCCCCGCGACCGUGACCGGAGAGGUCCGCCAACAGCCACUGGCCCGUUCGAACGGGGUGGGAAGGCGGCGGGCCAGACCACCUCCGCAAGCCGGGAGACCUGCCGCCGCGAGAGACAUCGAA
rnacentral:ncRNA from 1 species